AUAGAUAAAGGCAUUAAGUUAAUGCUAGCACCUAAAUCGCACAAUGCUUUAGUGAAUUUGAUAUUGCCAAUAUUGCAUGGAAUUGUAAAACUCCCUGGAUCCUUUAAUUUUGAUGGCAACUUGUUCUGAAUGAUUGCACUGCACUCUUCGGUGAGCAUGACUAUCUCAUGGUCCUCUAGCCUUCUCUUUUUGGAAAGGAUGUCCUUCAAGAAUU
rnacentral:lncRNA from 1 species